AUGCCCUUUCCACCUAAGUCAACUAAAAAGAAAUAUGAUGAAGAAUUUGAACGCUUUGCUGAAAUGCUGAGGCUAGUCUUCUUGCGUACUCGCUUGACUGAUAUCCUUAAAAAGCCUCCUUAUGCAAAGUACAUGAAAGACAUCAUCACCAAUAACAGAAAAAUACCAGAAGCUAAAAUCUCCACCAUGCUUGCUAAUUAUACUUUUAAAGAUGGAGUAUCUAAGAAACUUGGAGAUCCGGGAAUACCAACUAUACCUUGCUCCAUCAGAAGAAAUUAUGUGAAAAUUGCUUUAUGUGAUUUAGGAGCUGGUGUUAGUGUUAUGCCUUUCUCUUUAUAUAAAAGACUUGAUUUGAAUAAAAUCACACCUACUGAAAUAUCUUUGCAAAUGGCUGACAAAUCUACCGCCAUACCUAUCGGUAUUUGUGAGGAUGUGCCCGUUGUUGUUGCUAAUGUUACUAUUUUGACUAACUUUGUUAUACUUGAGAUGCCCGAGGACGACAACAUGUCGAUUAUCCUUGGUAGACCCUUCUUGAAUACUGCAGGGGUUGUUAUUGAUUGCAAUAAAAGCAAGGUCACUUUUCAUAUCAAUGGUAAUGAGCAUAUGGUGCACUUUCCGAAGAAACAAUUCCAAGUGAAUGGUAUUAAUGUUAUUGAAAAAUCUCCGACAAUCACUAUUGGAAGUUUUCAACUACCUCUACCUACCGUCAAAAAGAAAUAUGAAAUGCUUAUUGUUGGGGACAUUCAUAUCCCCGUUGAGGUAACUUAG
rnacentral:rRNA from 1 species